CAAUCUUGAGCAAAGCUAAGGACUUCUCUUUAUAGAACUUCUUAGAUUUGUAAAUUGCAGUGGAGUCGUCUCCUAUCUUAUCGGUCCCAUAUUUGGAAGAAGAACGACUAACGGAAGAAUAAACUGGAAAGGACCCAAACAAAGAAUACUUACCAAAGUCAUUGCCUAAGUUCUUUCUUGUUACGCUUUGAAGCUUCAUACAGGAACUCAAAAUCCUCAUUUUCGUAUAUCUUUAGCCAUUUACUUGUUGCAUUCUCAUGAGCUACCCACUCGUGCAUCAACCUGUUCAAGAAACAACCCACCACCUUUCACUCUCCCAUUCACAUUUCCCAAAACCCUCACUAAACCCACAAAAUUUCGAACUCAACUUCCGAACCAUAUGCAACAAUCUCUUGUCCCUAACCCAAUCAAGAUCCUUACUUAAAGGGCUUGCAUUACACGCACAUAUAAUCAAAUCAGGCAUUCAAAUAAUCCCACUUGUUUCCCACCACUUAAUCAACUUCUACUCAAAGCUCCAACACCCACUUGAUUCCGCACAAGUUUUCCAUGAAACGCAUUUCAAGUCUUCCACUACUUGGAGUUCAGUUAUCUCUUCUCUUGCCCAGAAUGAACAACCAAUUCUUGCUUUACAGUAUUUUCGUGAAAUGUUGUAUAAUGGUGUUAGGCCUGAUGAUCAUAUUUUCCCUUGCGCGACGAAAGCAUGCGGGAUUCUUUCUGAUUAUCGUAUUGGGCAAUCGAUUCAUUGCUUUUCUUUGAAGAUUGGAUUUGAGUCUGAUGUGUUUGUAGGGAGUUCUGUGGUGGAUAUGUAUCCCAAAUGCGGGAAGAUUGAGAUUGCUCGGGAGGUGUUCGAUCAAAUGCCUGAGAGAAAUGUGGUUUCUUGGAGUGGAAUGAUAUACGGGUAUGCUCAAAUGGGCAAGGACGAGGAAGCUUUGAGGCUUUUCAAGCUUGCUUUAGGUGAAAAUUUGGAUGUCAAUGACUUUACCUUUUCGAGUGUGAUUCGGGUGUGUGGGAAUUCCACGUUGCUCGAAUUAGGGAAGCAAAUACAUGGUUUGUGCUUGAAAACGAGCUAUGAUUCGUCUAGUUUUGUUGGGAGUGCCUUGAUAUCUUUGUACUCCAAGUGUGGUCUUGUUGAAGGCGCUUAUCGUGUGUUUGAUGAGGUUCCGCUUAGGAAUUUAGGAAUGUGGAACGCGAUGUUGAUUGCUUGUGCUCAGCACGGGCACGCUAGAAAAGUAUUUGACUUGUUUAAACAAAUGGAGAGUGUUGGAAUGAAGCCAAAUUUUAUUACCUUUUUAUGUGUUCUAUAUGCUUGUAGCCAUGCUGGGCUGGUUCAAGAAGGAAAAUUUUACUUUGAUUUAAUGAAGAAGCACGGAGUUGAGCCACGAGAUCAACAUUAUGCUUCCCUUGUGGACUGCCUUGGACGAGCUGGAAAAUUGCAAGAGGCCGUUCAAGUUAUUGAGGAGAUGCCGAUGCAACCAACAGAGUCUGUUUGGGGAGCUCUAUUGACUGGCUGUAGAAUCCACAGAAACACGGAAUUGGCAGCUUAUGUGGCCGACAGUGUUUUUGAGUUAGGUCCUGUUAGCUCAGGCGUACAUGUGCUACUGUCCAAUGCAUAUGCUGCUGCUGGUAGAUAUCAAGAGGCUGCCAAAGCAAGGAAAAUGCUUAGAGACAGAGGUGUGAAAAAGGAAACUGGUUUGAGUUGGGUCGAGGAGGGAAAUAAAGUCCACACAUUUGCUGCUGGCGAUAGAUCCCACUCGAAGUCUAAGGAGAUAUAUAAGAAGUUGGAUGAAUUAGGUGAUUACAUAGAGCAAGCUGGGUAUGUUGCAGACACAAACUAUGUAUUGCAACAGGUAGCUGGCCAGGAAAAGAGUGAGACUAUCAGGUAUCACAGCGAAAGAUUAGCCAUUGCUUUUGCACUUAUCACCUUUCCACCUGAAAGGCCUAUUAGAGUUAUGAAAAACUUGCGUGUAUGUGGAGAUUGUCACAAUGCAAUAAAGUUUAUUUCUAAGAUCACCAGAAGAGUAAUUAUAGUGAGGGAUAACAAUCGAUUUCAUCGCUUUGAGGAUGGGAAAUGCUCAUGUGGUGACUAUUGGUGACAAAUUUCCUGAGCAGUCUGCCCACGCAUGUACCCUGGAAGUAUCUGGUAAAUUUGCUGGUCUUAUGAGGAGUUUCAAGGCAUGUCCUAACAAUGUUUUGCUUUAUAAAGCUUCAAUUCUGGAAGUUCAAUUGCCAUACCUUUUUUUGAUAACCAAGAAAUCCUUGAGGGCCAUGGUGCACGUUCAAACUCGGUGGAUAAUGAGGUCCGCCCCUCUAUUCUCCUCCACUUAAAUGCGAGACUUUUGUCUGCGGCAGGCAUUAGCAGCAAGGCUGGGCUGCUGGGAUCAGGUUCAUAAUGCCUUUCAGACCGGCUUGCAGAUUUAGCUAGCAACUUCUCUGCUUGCCGAUGGAUUAGCUGUUGCCGGGCAAGUCAUAUUUUGUUGGGCCUAAAGGGUUGCACUUGCACUAUCCAUCUUUAUGACUGGUGUCGGAUUCUGAGGAUAGCGGCAAGAUCUGGAGCUUGGCUGACAGACUUUGUAUGUGUCCAAGAACUUUCGACAAUAUUUUACUAUUGAAGAGGAGCCUUAGAGCAAUGGUAAAGUUGUCUCGGUAUGACCUGCAGGGCACAGGUUCGAGCCGUGGAAGAAGCCACUAAUGCUUGCGUUAGGGUAGGCUGUCUAUAUCACACCCCUAGGGUGCGGCCCUUCCCCAAACCAUGCAUGAAUGCGGGAUACUUUGUGUACCGAGCUAUACAAUGGAUGUACUUUGCAUUGAAAGACUGCAUUCCAUUCUUUUACAACUCUAUUCUAAGUACAAAAAUCAGGCAUGAAAUAAGAAAUCCCUGUCUGGAUAUGUUGCUUGUUUUUGUAAUUACAUAUAGUAUGUAUUAUUUGUAUAUUAUGCAAUUCCAACUUUGUUUAGUAUGAAAUUUGAGUACACUGCA